rnacentral:tRNA from 1 species
CAACAAAUAAUUUAAUAAAAAUAUUAAUUUUGGGUGUUAGUUUUGUAGAAUAUUCUACUUUGUUGA